GUAACCGCUUUCAGCAAGGAAGAAGCCUUUCGGGGUGACGGUACCUGCAAAAAAAAUACCGGCUAACUACCUGCCACCAGCCGCGGUAAUACGGAGGGUACGUGCGUUGUCCGGAAUGAGUGGGCGUAACGAGCUCGUAGGUGGUUGGGCACGUCUGCUGAGGAAACGCAACGCUUAACGUUGCGCGUGCAAUGGGUACGGGCUGACUAGAGUGCAGUAGGGGAGUCUGGAAUUCCUGGUGUAGCGGUGAAAUGCGCAAAUAUCAGGAGGAACACCGGUGGCGAAGGCGGGACUCUGGGCUGUAACUGACACUGAGGAGCGAAAGCAUGGGGAGCGAACAGGAUUAAAUACGCUGGUAGUCCAUGCCGUAAACGUUGGGCA
rnacentral:rRNA from 1 species